GUAUUUGCAAAAGGCUUUAUUUUGAAAGGUUCAUUCAUUCUUGAAUCCAGAGGAAUCUUGUAUAAGGUGUCAGACUACAAUAAUUUUGCAUUGAUGCUUCAAGCGUUGACAGAUCAAUUGGGAGACUAGUGAAUGAUGAGCAGAAACCCAAUGCAAAGAUGAAAAAGAAGUGGAUGCCCAUGGCUCCUGCUACAGUCCAGGACCAAGUCAUCUCUCCCACUGCCCCUCCUGAAAAGUGGAUAACAGAGGUAUAUACACAUCUGCAAGAACACCAUGGACGAAAGCUGAGGUCAACGCUGUGAUGUGACGCUUCAAAUCUCAUAUCAUGAAAGGUCACUUGGCAUCUAAGAGGGAAUGUGAGGUGUGCAAAAAGUGUGAUCAUCCAGCUCUACAAAACAGGACAUGCCAAAAUAUCAGAGAUUUUGUUCGAACCAUUUAAACGUCAGUUGAACUAAAUUGAAUUUGUCCAAGGGACUAAAUCUCUCACGUUUUCACUUGUGAUUUUAUUGUCUCUUUUUUAGUUUUGUUUUUAUUCCCAUCACUGAGUGACAGUGUUUAACAUGUUUACUCUCUGAAUGAUGCUGUUGAAGGUUUUAAUGUAGAUGUUUAUUCCAAUGGACCAAAUUUUUCUAAAUGACAAAUUUUUUUCUCCCUCUUGUUGUAUCAUAUAUGUAAUAUCAGUGUUUACACAUAUGAUACAUUCCUGAUAUUCAAUAUUUUAAACAAUCAUCUAAAGCAUCACAAUCACAACUGCAUUAUG